rnacentral:lncRNA from 1 species
UGGUUAUCCUCUCAUUCUAAUCCACAAAGAGCAGUUGUCUUGUUUCCCCGCCACUGGAUGUGAGAGGAGGGACUUUCGAGACAUCUCCAACAGACAGGAUGGUGGGAAACUUGAUUGUGACCUAGAGAUGGGCAACUUGCCCAGGGCCGUGCAACUGCAUCCAGCUCCGUGCUAUUUACUCGUUGCCAUAGACUACACCAGACAGGAUUUCUUUGUGGAGCCCUGCCUGUCCUGGAACUCACUAUGCAGACCAGGCUAUUCUGGAACUCAGACAUUCGCCUACUUCUGUCUCCUGAGAGCUGAAGUUAAAGGCAUGAACCCCCACACCUGGCUUAUCAUCUGUCUUCUCAACAAGAGACUUCCCACAGAGAAGGGAUUCCAUUCCUGGGUUCACGAAGAGAUGCUGAGAUCUAUGUACCCUUGGAGUUGUACAAAAAGUUACAGGGAGCACAUUUCAGUAGAGAGGCUGAAGACUCUCAUCCAGCCCGGAAAUGAGUGUCCCCCUAAAACCCUAGUCUGGGGCUGAGGUAGAAAGAUUGAGAGUUGGAGACUGGACUGGGUUACAUAACAAGAACCAAUCUAAAAGAAAGAAAAGAGUGUUUCCCCCAAUGCUAAAUACUGCUCAUGGCACCUUGCCGAAACUCCUCUUCCCUUUCAGCUAAAAAAGCCCAAGAACCUCCAAAGGCAGACAGCCUGGCUUGAGACAGGUUGGGAGCAGAGGCCAAAAGAAGGCAUUACAUUCUCUGGAACUGGAGUCACAGAUAGUUGUGAGCCACCAGGUGGGCGCUGGGGAUCCAAGCUGGGUCCUCUAGAAGAGCGAGCGGCCAGUAUGAUCUUACCUCCUGGGUCUUAUCAAGAUGACACUAGCCAAACAGGGACGGCUGCCCUGACUCCAGCUGGGUUCCUAUGAUGCAGAUGUCUGAGGACACCACCAAGUUCCUGAGCAGGCUGUACUUGUUUAGGGUAGCUUGCCAGCAAAGGCAGAAAACAGCCUUUGUGGCAAUCCCGAGGGAGGGCCUGAAGCAAAGGUGGCCACCGAGUCUGUAGGAGCCUCUCCCCCACUGACCACAGAUGUAUUACAAUACAUCUCUGCUUCUUGCUGCCCGAGUCUCAGGCUCCUUUCCCGGUGCCUGCUGAUAAUCCCUGACACUGUUUGGAGGAAUGCGUCACUUUCUCAACUGUCUGGCUCUGGGUUCACCGCCUUCUGCGCCUCCUUUGGGAUAAGAUUGUUGGUCACUUGCCCAGAUUAAAAAUCCUCCCUGUUCUUGCAGAUGGCCAAAGAUGCUUCUUCCUUUUCUUCACAAUAGAAAACCGCGCAGUGUCAUCGAGGCGCCCGUUUUAUACACAUCUAGCGAUGCCCACUUGUGAUGGAGGCAGCCCCCGGGCUGAUUACCCGAGACCUAGGUUUUUCAGUGGCUCCCCACGGCAGUUGAAGGGCUUGUGUGGAACUUCUUCAGCUUCCCCCAGCUAAUUGCUCCGUACUCCAGGAAGUCUUUGCCGUCUCCGACUGAGCAAUGUUCCUUCUGUACGUACCCAGGUUGCCUAAAAUAAACCGUAGCACA